CAAGUUCAUGGUUACCCCUGGCUUCUAUCCAGGUUAAGAAUCCCUGCCUUUAGGGAAAAUUCUGGACAUAAGACUUUCAUGGUUUCUUUCCUUGUUGUCUUCAGGGUUGUUGCAGAUCCCUCCUCAGGGCUUGUUUGUCCAGGCCUCGUUGAUGAGAUGAUAUUUUGAAAACAAGUUCAUCAACAAGUUCCGGUUUUCCUGACAUUGAGCAGUUUCUGAGUUGUAUCAGUUUGCCAGCUAACCAAAAGUCAAAGAAAGUUUUUUUGUUUUGUUUUGUUUUUUUAGAGACAGGGUCUUGCUCUGUCACCCAGGCUGGAGUGCAGUGGAGCUCCAUCAUAGCUCACGACAACCUUAACCUCCCAAGCUCAAGUGAUCCUCCCACCUCAGCCUCCCAAGUAGCUGGGAUUACAGGCAGGAAUGUGCCACCACACCUAGCUAACUCUGCUGCUAACAUUUUUGUGACAUUUCCUCCUUUUAUGGUGAACCAUGACAUAUAGAAAAUGCAUAAAACCUAUAUAUGUUCAGUUUAAUGAAUAACUACAAGGUGUUAUUUGGUGUAAUUGCAGGAUGUUCACUGUCAUUGUUGUACAGUUCUCCACGGUGAAUGUACCACGAUUUAAUGGGCAUAUACUAUAGAUAGUGCUGCUAGCAACACUCUAGGACUCAUUUCCUUUUUUUUGAGAUGGAGUCUGACUCUGUCACCCAGGCUGGAGUGCAGUGGCACGAUCUCAGCUCACUGCAACCUCCACCUCCCAGGUUCAAGUGAUUCUCCUGCCUCAGCCUCCUGAGUAGCUGGGAUUACAGGUGCCCGCCACCAUGCCCGGUUAAUUUUUGUAUUUUUAGUAGAGAUGGGGUUUUGCCAUGUUGGUCAGGCUGGUCUUGAACUCCUGACCUCAGGUGAUCCACCCACCUCGGCCUCCCAAAGUGCUGGGAUUACAGGCGUUGAGCCACGGCACCCGGCCUCUAGGACUCAUUUCUUAGGAGUGGAACUGGCACACAUGCAGCUUUAGUAGGUAAUGCCUAAGUUUCCACAGUGGCUGCACCAUUUUACCUUCCCAGUAGCAUGUACGAGGCUUUCAAUUGCUGCAUAUCCUUUCAAAUACUUAGUGUUGUUGAUAUUUUGAGUUUUCACUUGUAUUUUCCUGAUGAGCAGCUUUUCAUGUGCUUACUGGCCACUCUCAUGUUUUUCCUUAUUGAUUUACAGGACCCUUUAAAUAUUAAAAACUGUAAAUCUCUUUCACACAAUGAUUUGCUGUUUCAAUUUUUUCUUAAGGUGGCUUCUUGUGGCCAGGUGUGGUGGCUCAGGCCUGUAAUCCCAGCACUUUGGGAGGCCUGAGGCAGGCAGAUUUUGUGAGGUCAGGAGUUUGAGACCAGCCUGGCCAACAUGGUGAAACCCCGUCUCUACUAAAAAUACAAAAAUUAGCCGGGUGAGGUGGGAGCACACGUCUGUAAUCCCAGCUACUCAGGAGGCUGAGGCAGGAGAAUCUCUUGAACCCGGGAGGCGGAGGUUGGAGUGAGCUGAGAUAGUGCCACUGCACUCCACCCAGCCUGGGCGACAGAGCGAGACUCUGUUCUCAAAACAAAACAAAAAACAAAACAAAAAAGGCCAGGUGUGGUGGCUCACACCUGUAAUCCCAACACUUUGGGAGGCCGAGGCAGGUGGAUCACCUGAGGUCACGAGUUUGAGACCAGUCUGGUCAACAUGGCAAAACCCCAUCUCUACUAAAAAUACAAAAAUUAGCCAUGCAUAGUGGCGGGCACUGUAAUCCCAGCUAUUUGGGAGGCUGAGGCAGGAGAAUCGCUUGAACUUGGUAGAUGGAGGUUGCCGUGAGCUGAGAUCAUGCCACUGCACUCCAGCCUGGGUAACAGAGUAAGACUCUGUCUCAAGAAAAAAAAAAAGGUGGCUUUUUGUGAUGGCUGACUUAGUCUGAAUAACCUGCUAUGCCAUUGUCAGAAAGGGCCAUCCUCUAACAUCGUGGUUUUAGAACAUUUGGCUAUGGAUAAACUUUCCUCCCAUACCACGUGCAGUUCCACCUUUGGGACAUGCCUAUUUCCUUUACCCAGAAUGCUCUUCCCUCAGAUAAACACAUGGCUUCCCUCCGGCAGUGCCUUCAGGUCUUUGCUCAAACAUUACCUCUGAGGAAUGUCUGAGGCCUUCUAUGACAACCCUUUUAAAAAGUGCAAACUGGCUGGGCGCAGUGGCUCAUGCCUGUAAUCCUGGUACUUUGGGAGGCCGAGGAUGGCAGAUCGCUCGAGCCCAGUAGAUCGAGACCAGCCUGGGCAACAUGGCAAAACUCCAUCUCCCCUAAAAAUACAAAAAUUUGCUAGGCAUGGUGGUACAUGCCUGUAGUCCCAGCUACUUGAGAGGCUGAGGUGGGAGGAUUUUUUGAGCCCGGGAAAUCACACCACUGAACUCCAGCCUGGGCGACAGAGUGAGACCUUGUCUCAAAACAAAAACACCAAAAGAUGAAAACUGCCAUGCCUAGAAUUCCUGAUUCUCUUCACCCUGCUUUACUUUUUUCUAUUUUUUAUAUCCCAUAUUACUCUUAUAUAUUAUAUAUAUUGCAAGAUAUGUAAAUUGAGAAAUGCAAGCUAUAUAGUAUAUAUGUGUAUGUAAACUCUUGCACUUACAGACUGUUUUGAUUGUUGCCUCUUUUCCAAACUGGAAGUACUGUGAGAGCCAAGAUAUUUCUGUUUUGCUCCCUGCUCUAUCUCCAAACCUAGAACAACACCUGACAUACAGUAUGUGCUCAAUAAAUGUUUACUGAAUGCCUCAAAUGUAAAAUGCUUAAAGCAGUUCCUGGCAUACAACAACAGAUGUUUAGAAAAGGGUUUGUUGAUUAAAAUCUUAUCAGUUGACAUAAAAAUUUCAAAGGUGAAAUUUUACUGAGGUUUUUCAUAAAGGUUGCCCUUACUCAAACUCUUAGAUAACAAGGCAAACUUACCGUAAUGGGUUAAGGUGAACAACUCAUUUCAUUGUCUUCCAUCUACCCAAGAAAAAGAAAAGUGACUCACAUAUUUGGCGAAACUUUUC
rnacentral:lncRNA from 10 species